rnacentral:rRNA from 1 species
UUUAGAGGAAGUAAAAGUCGUAACAAGGUUUCCGUAGGUGAACCUGCGGAAGGAUCAUUAUCGAAUUCAAGGGGGGAAGAUGGGGAGUGGAGACUGUCGCUGGCUUCUGCAUGUGCACGUCUACCUUCUCGUCGACCUUUUCUCACACACACACCUGUGCACCCAUUGUAGGCCCUCGAAAGAGGAUCUAUGUUUUUCCAUAUCACACCCAUCGCAUGUCUAUAGAAUGUAUUGAAAACGUCGACCGACCUGACGGUCGGGGGGCGGUUUAAAUAAAUCAUACAACUUUCAGCAACGGAUCUCUUGGCUCUCGCAUCGAUGAAGAACGCAGCGAAUUGCGAUAAGUAAUGUGAAUUGCAGAUUUUCAGUGAAUCAUCGAAUCUUUGAACGCACCUUGCGCUCCUUGGUAUUCCGAGGAGCAUGCCUGUUUGAGUGUCAUUGAAUUCUCAACCAUGUCUUGAUUUAUUUCGAGGCAUGGCUUGGAGUUGGGGGUUUGCUGGCGGCGAAAAGCUGUCAGCUCUCCUGAAAUGCAUUAGCAAAGGGCGGCAAGUCUUUGACAUGCACGGCCUUCGACGUGAUAAUGAUCGUCGUGGCUGGAGUGUCACAGGACAUGCAUGAAUCGUCCGUGCUUCUAAUCCUACCUAGCCACGAGUCGAGAGGCGGCUGGCUUGUGUUUUUGGAAACUUGACCUCAAAUCAGGUAGGACUACCCGCUGAACUUAAGCAUAUCAAUAA